rnacentral:rRNA from 1 species
UACGGAGGGUGCAAGCGUUAUCCGGAUUCACUGGGUUUAAAGGGAGCGUAGGUGGGUUGGUAAGUCAGUGGUGAAAUCCCCGAGCUUAACUCGGGAACUGCCAUUGAUACUAUCAGUCUUGAAUACCGUGGAGGUCAGCGGAAUAUGUCAUGUAGCGGUGAAAUGCUUAGAUAUGACAUAGAACACCAAUUGCGAAGGCAGCUGGCUACACGAUUAUUGACACUGAGGCUCGAAAGCGUGGGGAUCAAACAGG